rnacentral:rRNA from 1 species
AUUGAACGCUGGCGGCAGGCCUAACACAUUCCAGUCGGGCGAGAGGCGGACGGGUGAGUAAUGUCUGGGGAACUGCCUGAUGGCGGGGGAUAACUACUGGCAACGGUAGCUACUACCGCAUCCCCUCCGAUGAACCCAUAUGGGCUUAGCUAGUAGGUGAGGUAACGGCUUACCUAGCCGACGAUCCCUAGCUGGUCUGAGAGGAUGAUCAGUCAAACUGGAACUGAGACACGGCCCAGACUCCUACGGGAGGCAGCAGUGGGGAAUAUUGCACAAUGGGCGCAAGCCUGAUGCAGCAAUGCCGCGGGUAUGAAGAAGGCCUUCGGGUUGUAAAGUACUUUCAGUCGGGAGGCGUUACCGACAGAAGAAGCACCGGCUAACUCCGUGCCAGCAGCCGCGGUAAUUC